rnacentral:rRNA from 1 species
GAUGAACGCUGGCGGCGUGCCUAAUACAUGCAAGUAGAACGCUGAAGGAAGGAGCUUGCUCUUUCCGGAUGAGUUGCGAACGGGUGAGUAACGCGUAGGUAACCUGCCUGGUAGCGGGGGAUAACUAUUGGAAACGAUAGCUAAUACCGCAUAACAGUAGAUGUUGCAUGAUAUCUACUUAAAAGGUGCAAUUGCACCACUACCAGAUGGACCUGCGUUGUAUUAGCUAGUUGGUGAGGUAACGGCUCACCAAGGCGACGAUACAUAGCCGACCUGAAAGGGUGAUCGGCCACACUGGGACUGAGACACGGCCCAGACUCCUACGGGAGGCAGCAGUAGGGAAUCUUCGGCAAUGGACGGAAGUCUGACCGAGCAACGCCGCGUGAGUGAAGAAGGUUUUCGGAUCGUAAAGCUCUGUUGUAAGAGAAGAACGAGUGUGAGAGUGGAAAGUUCACACUGUGACGGUAUCUUACCAGAAAGGGACGGCUAACUACGUG